UGAAUAGUGCUGCAAUAAACAUACGCCUUGGGUGGUACCUCCAAGUGUCCUUGCAGAUGUGAAAAGCAAGGUGGUUCAGUUCCCUAAUCAGAGACUUCCUGGCAGGAGAAGGUCCUGGCAUUAGCAUUAGCUGCUGCAACUCUGAAGAGCAGGUUGUGAGCCUGCUGUGGGACUGCCCUCUCCCAAGGGCCAUGGUUAGCUGGUGCAAGGGCCAGCUUUCCCCACAUCAGCACUCCCUCUGCUGCGGGCCUGAGCUCUGCAUGCCCCUGGCUCUCUUCUGCAGAGGGCCUGCUCUCAGCUGCCACAAGAGGGCGCAGGAGAACGGACCUGAGCAGAGAGCCAGGAGCUCCUCUGCUGGUCCUCCCAGGCACCACCCCUGCUGGGAGGAAGGCUUGGGAGUCCCCUGAGACAGAUCCUCAGUCUCUUCUUUCUGCCUGUGUCUCAGAAAGACCAGCUCCUCCUACUGUCUUCUGUGCUAGGGAUCCCUUCCUUGUUGAGUGGGACCUGAGUUUUGAGAGGAUCUUCUGUUCCUCUUCAUCCAAUCCCUUUCCUUCCAAGACCCAAGAGAGGAAGGCAUGUGGUGGGCCCCAGUCCUGCUUCUAGCUUUCCUGUCUCCUGCCAGUCAGAAAUCUUCCAAUUUGGAAGGGAGAACGAAGUCAGUCACCAGGCCAACUGGGUCAUCCGCUGAAAUCACCUGUGAUCUUCCUGAAGUCAGUAGCUUCUACAUCCACUGGUACCUACACCAGGAGGGGAAGGCCCCACAGCGUCUUCUGUACUAUGACUCCUCCAACUCCAGGGUUGUGUUGGAAUCAGGAAUCAGUUCAGGAAAGUAUAAUAGUUAUGGAAGCACAAGGAGGAGCUUGAGAUUGAUACUGCGAAAUCUAAUUGAAAAUGAUUCUGGGGUCUAUUACUGUGCCAACUGGGACAGGCACAGUGAUUCAGACCUGCCGAACACCACACUGAAAAUCUGCCGUGUGGCUGCUUCUAGUACACAGGAUAGAGCCACCCGCUCUCACUUCCUGCCACCACAUUUACUGUAUGCUGAACAAGAGAAACACAGCUUAACUCCUGAUCUCCCCUGCAGGAUUACACUCCCCUGGCAGCAGCUGCCCCCUGUUCCCCACCCUCCCCCAGGACUUCCCUGAAGACCAAGCUGCCAUCUCAGCUAAGCCUCAGCGAAGCAGCCUGGCUGAGAGCAAGGUUCUUUAGCUCUCCUAGGAC